AGCAUAAUAAUUUUCAUAAUGUUGAAGAGAUGAUUUUACAAAAUAAUUAUUGUAUUUCUAUUCGCCUAUGACAUAUAAAAUCAAACAAUAUACAUAGGUUUAACAUAUUAUAUUAUAAAACAAUAUAUUGAAAUAAAGGAUAUAGUACUAAAUAGGGAUAUCACAAUGGAUAAAUCCUCACGGGACAUCUUGUACAUUUAGCAAUACAAUAUUUUUUUUCUUAAUUAAUAUUUUAUUAUAUAGUCGUAUUUUACAUACUGUUUGAUUUUAUAGAUCUUAUAAAUAAGUUAUUACAUUUUAUGCGGAACUACAAAAACACAAUUGUCUUCAUUAUUUAUUACCACAAAUAAAAUGACAAUUACAAAUUCUAAAUUGUUGAAAACUAUAUUAGUCUGCUAUAAUAUAAUAUAUUAUAACUUAAUUUUAAAAUUUCUGUGAGAAUAAAUAACAAUAUUAUGAAAAUAAUUAUAAUUAUUAUAACAAAUUAAUAAUAAAUGUCAUUAUUAUGUUUAUUUCUAAAUGUGUGUUUACAAUACAACUGCAGUGAACAAUUGCCAAUUUUUUUAUUUCAAAUAACAAAUGUGUAACUACGAGUAUAUCAUAAUUAACCAUGCAAAAGAAACAUGUACAUCAUACUAUGUCAUACACUCAUACAUGAUAUCUACUAGCGAUGUAACUAUUGGUUUUACUGAAAUUCUUGUGUCAUUACGUAACUAACUUAACUUAACAUUUAACAACGUUGUAUAAUAAAAUGUGCCUAAUUGGAGGAAGGAAUUUUAUCAACAAUAUUUUGAAACGUUAAAAAACUAUUUAACACAAGCUCCGGUGUUUCAAUACCCAAAUUUCUCAAAACCUUUCAAUUUUACUUGCAGUGCAAUAAAUGAUAAUUUAUGGUAUUGGUUGUAUUCUUUCACAUGGAUUUACAAAAAGGACCUGCCAAUGCGGCAUUACUUUAUGAGUUCAUAAAAGUAUAAAAAAACAUAAUUAUAUUACAGUGAAUCAAAAUCAAAAUUGGACUACAAUAUUUCAACAGUAUCAUGGAUCGUAGCACGUUAUUGUGGUUAUUCAAUUUGAAGGAUCAUGGUCGCUGGAUCUAAAUUUUUAAGUUGGUUUUUGAAAUUAGAUGAACACUUUUAUACAAUCUACUACAUUUUUCUUCAAGUUAAAUUUUACUUAUAAUAAAAUUAAUCUAGAUAUUUUGAAAAUGUUAUUUUAUAUAAUAAGUUUUUCAUUAUUUGAGCGAAUUUUGU